AGCAGCAUGGCUUAAUGGAAAGAGCACUGGCCUGGGAGCCAGAAGGCCUGGGUUCUAAUCUCCAGCUCUGCCA
rnacentral:tRNA from 1 species